AUACGUAGGUGGCAAGCGUUGUCCGGAUUUACUGGGCGUAAAGAGUAUGUAGGCGGAUAUUUAAGUCAGAUGUGAAAUUCCCGGGCUUAACCUGGGAGCUGCAUUUGAUACUGGAUAUCUAGAGUGCGGGAGAGGAAAGUGGAAUUCCUAGUGUAGCGGGGGUGAAAUGCGUAGAGAUUAGGAAGAACACCAGUGGCGAAGGCGACUUUCUGGACCGUAACUGACGCUGAGAUACGAAAGCGUGGGGAGC
rnacentral:rRNA from 1 species